UACGGAGGAUCCAAGCGUUAUCCGGAAUCAUUGGGUUUAAAGGGUCCGUAGGCGGUUUGGUAAGUCAGUGGUGAAAUCCCUUCGCUCAACGGAGGAACGGCCAUUGAUACUGCCAGACUUGAAUUACUGGGAAGUAACUAGAAUAUGUAGUGUAGCGGUGAAAUGCUUAGAUAUUACAUGGAAUACCAAUUGCGAAGGCAGGUUACUACCGGUGGAUU
rnacentral:rRNA from 1 species